AGUGAACGCUGGCGGUAGGCCUAACACAUGCAAGUCGAACGGCAGCACAGUAAGAGCUUGCUCUUACGGGUGGCGAGUGGCGGACGGGUGAGGAAUACAUCGGAAUCUACUUUUUCGUGGGGGAUAACGUAGGGAGACUUACGCUAAUACCGCAUACGACCUACGGGUGAAAGCAGGGGAUCUUCGGACCUUGCGCGAUUGAAUGAGCCGAUGUCGGAUUAGCUAGUUGGCGGGGUAAAGGCCCACCAAGGCGACGAUCCGUAGCUGGUCUGAGAGGAUGAUCAGCCACACUGGAACUGACACGGUCCAGACUCCUACGGGAGGCAGCAGUGGGGAAUAUUGGACAAUGGGCGCAAGCCUGAUCCAGCCAUACCACGUGGGUGAAGAAGGCCUUCGGGUUGUAAAGCCCUUUUGUUGGGAAAGAAAAGCAGCAGGUUAAUACCCCGCUGUUCUGACGGUACCCAAAGAAUAAGCACCGGCUAACUUCGUG
rnacentral:rRNA from 1 species